CAAAUAGGGUGGAAAUAGAGAUGUUUCGUAAUUUUUUCAACGGAGAUAUAGAGUGGGUAGGUUUCAUAGGUGUUUUGGUCAAACAGUAUACAUUUUUUUUCUAAGAACUUUUUUUUCACAGCUUACAGUUUAAAAUAGUCUUUUCACAAUUCACAAUUGAACAAAUAGAUUUUAGUAGAGCAACUUUGUUUCUUAUACUGGUACUAAUUAUUAGCUAAUGUGAAAUAAAGCAGUGAUAAAUCGUCACGUUUUAACAAAGAACUAAAUGAAAUAUAAUGAUCUCAUGAAACAAACACUGCCGUAAUUUGGCCAAAAUCUGAUUAACGCAGAAAAAAAGAGGAGAAAUAGCUUUUUUUUAAAAAAAAAAAAGAAUAGAACCUUUUAUUGACCUUUAUAAGAAGUACAAAUGUCAUUAUAUGGAGAUACAAAUCAAACAUUUAUGAAGGAGAUAUGGGCU
rnacentral:lncRNA from 1 species